rnacentral:snoRNA from 1 species
AUGAUGAUACAGCCAGGACCCUGAUGGGAUGAUGAGUGGUGGGCUUAGCUGA